CCCGGUCCCUCCGACCUAGCGAACGAAAUGUACACCCUAGAUACGCUAGUCUAGACAAGACACCGGUGUCCGGCUUGGGCUAUAUAUAUUCAACCAAGACCCAGCCUGACUCCAUACCAAGAUUAGACGGGCUGACUACAGGGCGUCUAAUUAUGAGCGGUGCGCCUUCGCUCCUUCCCUCCCUGGAGGGGGCCAAUUCCAUACACAAUUCCAAUUCAAACCCCUUAUGGGCCUACCGCACAAUCGGUAUCCAAUACCCCUAGUGGGUCCACCGUCUAAAACAGUAGUCGUCUUACCUCCUCGUUCCUGAACCUGAGUUCACACUCAUCGACGGGGACACCCCAGUACUUACUACGUAGAGGCCGAUGAUCUCCUGGACAACAGACCAGUGGCGCCAAGACGAAGGGAGGUCCAUGCAGAAGUUCAGGGGUGCAGCCGUAGAGAACGUGGGCAAAGACAGACCGUCUCACGCCUCUGCUUCCUAGCCACCGUUAACGACGAGCUUCCCAGCCAACGCACCAAAGAUGUUACUGGGAAACUGACGGAGGCCAAGCACAGAGAGAUGGACACAGGUUUCUUCAGGAAGGAAGAGAUCUUUAUUCGUAUCACCGACCGGGACUCAGAGGGACUUAUGUCACCAAAAACAGCAAAGAUCUGAGCACUGAAUACAUAGAGUAGAUUCCUUAUAUAGCACUGUAGCUCCUCCCAUAAUUAGCUACGCCCACACAUACCCUUAACCUAAUCAAUGAAUUGAGUCUAAACUCAUCCAUCUGGUCUAACCACGUGGCUCAUCUGAAACAAAGGAGAGGGACGCGUAAUUCCAGUUCCUGCAUUCCUGCACAUGCUCAGUACAGUGAUGACAGUAUCUUAGCUACGUGUAACUAACUAACUGAUACUACAAACACAUGUACCUACAUAUGCCUUGUGGCAAUCUUGGCCUGCUAAACUUGUAUUUUACUGGAAUUCCAUCACACUUUCACAUCAUCAAUAAACACUAGUGACCCAGUGCUAUGCAUAUGACUGCCUCCACCGUGUUUCUCAGAUGAUGUGGUAUUAGUCAGAUCAUGAGCUGCUCUAAGCCUUCUCCAUACAUUUUUCCCCCCAUCAUUCUGGUACAGAUUGAUCUUAGUUUCAUCUGUCCAAGUGUUCUUCACUUGUCUGGAUUUUGUGAAGGGUGUUUUCUUUACCAUGUAAAGGAUCCUACAAUCAUCCACUACUGUUGUUUUCCUUGGACAACCAGGCCUAUUUGUGUUGCAGGGCUCACCAGUGCGUUAAAUCUUUUCUCAGAAUGUACCAAACUGUUGAAUUGGCUACUCUUAAAGUUCCUGCUAUCUCUCGGAUGUUUUUGCAUUUUGUUUGCAGCCUAAGGAUAGCCUGUUUCAUGUGCAUUGAGAGAUCCUUUUAUCACAUGUGGGUUCACAGCAAGAGCUUCCAAAUGCGAAUGCCACAACUGAAAUAAACUCUAGACCUUUUACCUGCCUAAUUGAUGAAGACAUUGUUGGUUAUACAUCAAAAAGAGACACUGGCAGAUUGUGAAGAAGCAUAUUAGGCUUUACUUGUGUGGAUAAACAGCAAACAUUUAUAACAUAUCAGUUACUUGAAACAGCAGCCAGCAGGGUGAAAGUUAAAUGAAGAGAGACAUUAAGCAAGUAAAAAAAAAACCAAAGAACUUCCUUCCUGUGAGUGCCAACAAGUUCAUAUCAUAUAUGAGCAGUACUCUGAACUGCACAGUGCCAUCUACAGCUCAAGUGCUGAUAAUAUACAUAUUAUGCAGUACAUGCUGUUGUAUUUCCCAACAGAAAUAAUGAAGGAAUAGCUCACACCUGUCCAUGAAACAGCUCUUGAGUCAAAUGUCCAAAUACGUUUAAUCCCUUGAAAAAGAGGGAGCCACAUAUUAACCCCUUAAGGACCAAGGACGUAUCAGUUAUGUCAACAAAAAAGGGUCCAUAAGGACCGCGGACGAACCUGAUACAUCUGAGGGGAAUUAGAGCGCUGGAAGCAAUCAUAAUCGCUUCCAGCAGCUCUAAUGGUAUUGCAGCGAUGCCUCACUGCCGGUCGCCGCCGGAGAACACUGGGUGAUCGUUCCCCCCGGAACAAUCACUUCAGGGUUGCUCCACGUGGAGCCUGGCAGUGAAGCAGAGCAUCGGAAGCCAUCAGGCAGGCUUCCGAUGCUCUGCAUGUACUGAAUGCUUCGAAGGGUCGAGGCAAUCAGUAAC